CAUGCAAGUCGAACGGUAACGCGGGGCAACCUGGCGACGAGUGGCGAACGGGUGAGUAAUGCAUCGGAACGUGUCCAGUAGUGGGGGAUAGCCCGGCGAAAGCCGGAUUAAUACCGCAUACGACCUACGGGUGAAAGCGGGGGAUCGCAAGACCUCGCGCUAUUGGAGCGGCCGAUGUCGGAUUAGCUAGUUGGUGAGGUAAAGGCUUACCAAGGCUACGAUCCGUAGCUGGUCUGAGAGGACGACCAGCCACACUGGGACUGAGACACGGCCCAGACUCCUACGGGAGGCAGCAGUGGGGAAUUUUGGACAAUGGGCGCAAGCCUGAUCCAGCCAUGCCGCGUGCGGGAAGAAGGCCUUCGGGUUGUAAACCGCUUUUGUCAGGGAAGAAACGCUUCGGGCUAAUACCUUGGAGUAAUGACGGUACCUGAAGAAUAAGCACCGGCUAACUACGUGCCAGCAGCCGCGGUAAUACGUAGGGUGCGAGCGUUAAUCGGAAUUACUGGGCGUAAAGCGUGCGCAGGCGGCCAUGCAAGACAGAUGUGAAAUCCCCGGGCUCAACCUGGGAACUGCAUUUGUGACUGCAUGGCUGGAGUGCGGCAGAGGGGGAUGGAAUUCCGCGUGUAGCAGUGAAAUGCGUAGAUAUGCGGAGGAACACCAAUGGCGAAGGCAAUCCCCUGGGCCUGCACUGACGCUCAUGCACGAAAGCGUGGGGAGCAAACAGGAUUAGAUACCCUGGUAGUCCACGCCCUAAACGAUGUCAACUGGUUGUUGGACGGCUUGCUGUUCAGUAACGAAGCUAACGCGUGAAGUUGACCGCCUGGGGAGUACGACCGCAAGGUUGAAACUCAAAGGAAUUGACGGGGACCCGCACAAGCGGUGGAUGAUGUGGUUUAAUUCGAUGCAACGCGAAAAACCUUACCUACCCUUGACAUGCCAGGAACUUACCAGAGAUGGUUUGGUGCUCGAAAGAGAGCCUGGACACAGGUGCUGCAUGGCCGUCGUCAGCUCGUGUCGUGAGAUGUUGGGUUAAGUCCCGCAACGAGCGCAACCCUUGUCAUUAGUUGCUACGUAAGGGCACUCUAAUGAGACUGCCGGUGACAAACCGGAGGAAGGUGGGGAUGACGUCAGGUCAUCAUGGCCCUUAUGGGUAGGGCUACACACGUCAUACAAUGGCCGGUACAGAGGGCUGCCAACCCGCGAGGGGGAGCCAAUCCCAGAAAACCGGUCGUAGUCCGGAUCGCAGUCUGCAACUCGACUGCGUGAAGUCGGAAUCGCUAGUAAUCGCGGAUCAGCUUGCCGCGGUGAAUACGUUCCCGGGUCUUGUACACACCGCCCGUCACACCAUGGGAGCGGGUUCUGCCAGAAGUAGUUAGCCUAACCGCAAGGAGGGCGAUACC
rnacentral:rRNA from 1 species